UCUCUUUUUCCUCUUUGUUAAUACCCAAGUCCCCAACUGUUUCCCAUUUCAAAACAAAAUUUUCAUUUCAACUUCGUCGCAUAGCAAAAUCUCCACUAUAAAAUUGCACAACACGAAACUCUGGCUGCAAAUCGCAGCUACAGAAGUAAACAAAGAUGAGCACAGUAGAUAAAAUGCUUAUAAAAGGCAUACGGAGCUUUGACCCUGAGAACAAAAACGUCAUCACUUUUUUCAGGCCAUUAACUCUCAUCGUCGGCCCUAAUGGCGCUGGAAAAACAACUAUAAUUGAGUGCUUGAAGGUUGCCUGCACUGGUGAGAUGCCACCAAAUGCUCGCUCUGGUCAUAGCUUCAUCCAUGACCCUAAGGUGGCUGGAGAGACGGAGACAAAGGGGCAGAUAAAACUGCGGUUCAAGACAGCAGCAGGGAAAGAUGUGGUGUGCAUUAGGUCUUUUCAGCUAACUCAAAAGGCAACAAAGAUGGAGUACAAGGCCAUUGAGAGUGUACUACAGACUAUCAAUCCUCACACUGGAGAGAAAGUUUGCCUAAGCUAUAGAUGUGCCGAUAUGGACCGAGAAAUUCCUGCUCUCAUGGGUGUCUCAAAGGCCAUUCUUGAAAAUGUGAUUUUUGUUCACCAAGAUGAGGCAAACUGGCCAUUGCAAGAUCCUUCUACACUGAAAAAGAAGUUUGAUGAUAUUUUCUCCGCUACUAGAUACACAAAGGCGUUGGAGGUUAUUAAAAAGCUUCACAAGGAUCAAGCUCAAGAAAUAAAGACAUAUAAGUUGAAACUGGAGAAUCUUCAGACAUUGAAAGAUGCUGCUUACAAGCUGCGGGAAAGCAUUGCCCAAGAUAAAGAGAAAACCGAGUCACUGAAAAGUCAGAUGGAGGAGCUUGAAAAAGAGAUUCGGACUCUAGAGAGUAAGAUCCACCAUACUGAAGCAACUUUAAAGGACCUUCAUCAAUUGCAGCAAGAGAUAGCCACCAAAACUGCUGAAAGGAAAACAUUGUUCAGGGAACAGGAAAAACAGUAUGCAGCACUUGCAGAGGAGAAUGAAGACACUGAUGAAGAGCUGAGUGAAUGGAAAACAAAGUUUGAUGAAAGGAUAGCGCUUCUGGAAUCGAAAGUUAGCAAGUUGGAGAGGGAAAUGAAUGACUCAGAGACAAAGAGUUCCCUUCUUAAGCAGUCCAUGACAGACUAUAUCGUGGAGAUCAGCAAGCUUCAAGCUGAGGCUGAAGCUCUUGCGGUGUUAAAGAAUGAAAGAGACGUCACUAUCAGGAAGCUUUUUGGAAGACAUAACUUAGGUGCUCUUCCAAGUGGGCCGCUCAGUGAUGAUGUCGCAUUAAAUUUAAUGAAUCGUAUAAACCUACGAUUAGCACAUGUUGAUAAGGAUUUACAAGAUAAAAAGGAAACAAAUGAGGCAGAAAUUGCAGCUGCGUGGCAUCAAUACGAAAUUGCAAAUAACCUCUGGAAUGAAAAGGAGGCGCAAAAAGUGGCUAGAGCAGAUAUUAAGAAUGGCAUUUUGAAGCGUAUUGAAGAGAAGGAAAAUGAGCGGAAUGAGUUUGAACAUGAGAUUUCUAAUGUUAAUAUGGCUCAUCUUGAUGAGAGAGAGAAAAAAAUGCAAAUUGAAUGCGAGAGAAAGUCUAAGCAGCUUGCAGAAAGAGAAUUUGACUCAAACAUAAGGCAAAAGCAGACUGAAAUGUUCACCAUAGACCAAAAACUUAAAGAUCUUCAUGCUGAAAAAGAUCGUAUGGCCAAUGAGUCUGAGGAUAGAAUUAAGCUCUCUCUUAAGAAGGCAGAGCUGGAAACUCUCAAGAAGAAACAUAAAAAGCUAAUGGAUGAUAACAAGGAUAAGGUAAAAGGAGUAUUGAAAGGAAGGCUUCCAUCUGACAAGGACUUGAAGAAAGAAAUUACUCAGGCACAAAGGGCUCUCCAGAGAGAGUUUGAUGACUUGAGUGCCAAAGCCCGCGAAGCUGAGAAGGAGGUCAAUAUGUCGCAGAUGAAAAUAGAAGAAGUUAAGCAUAACUUGUCCAAAUAUCACAAGGACAUGGACUCAAGAAAGAGAUUUCUGGAAUCAAAGCUCCAGUUGCUGGACCAGGAAUUUGCUGGUGUAGAGUCCUAUCCCAAAAUUAUGGACUCAGCCAAAGAAAAAAGAGAUGUCCAAAAAAGCAAGUACAACAUUGCCGAUGGUAUGCGGCAAAUGUUUGAUCCAUUUGAAAGAGUUGCUCGUGCUCAUCAUAUUUGCCCUUGCUGCGAGCGUCCGUUCUCUGCUGAAGAGGAGGAUGAAUUUGUUAAGAAGCAACGAGUGAAAGCUGCUAGCUCUGCUGAGCAUAUUAAAGUAUUAGCUAUGGAUUCUUCGAAUGCUGAUUCUCGUUUCCAACAGUUAGACAAGCUUCGUUUGGUUUAUGAAGAGUAUCUCAAAGUGGGAAAGGAAUCAAUACCUCUAGCAGAGAAGAACCUUAAUGAGCUAAAUGAGGAAUUAGAUCAAAAAAAUCAGUCUCUUGAUGAUGUUUUAGGUGUCUUGGCUCAGAUAAAGGCUGAGAAGGAUGCAGUUGAUGCGCUAAUACAACCUGUAGAAACAUCUGACAGGCUUUUCCAAGAAAUUCAAGCUCUGCAGAAGCAAGUUGAUGAUUUGGAUUAUGGUCUUGAUAUCCGCGGGCAAGGCAUAAGAUCUAUGGAGGAAAUUCAAUCAGAAUUGGAUGAACUGCAGAGCAAAAGGGAAAAUUUGUCUUCGGAAGUGGAGAAGCUGAAAGAUGAUCGGAGGUACAUGGAGAAUGAGUUUUCAAGUUUCCAAUUAAGAUGGUUUACUGUAAGGGAAGAGAAGACGCAAGCAGCAAACAAAUUGAACAAUGUUAAAAGGGCAGAAGAGGAAUUGGAUGACUUGGUGGAGCAGAAAAAUAAAGUUGAGCUUGAAGAGAAGCAUCUUGCAGAGGCUGUUGGUCCCUUGUCGAAGGAAAAGGACAAGCACUUUAGGGACUACCAAAAUCUGAAAACAAAACUUAGCAAGGAGUUGGAAGAGCAGGCAGAAAUUAGAAGACAUUAUCAACAGGAUGUAGAUGAACUUAAGAAGAUUACCUCCAAAAUUAGAGAGUAUUAUGAGUUAAAGAAAGAACAAAAAUUGAAUGAACUGCAGGACAAGCGAAGCCUGUCAGAAUCUCAGCUUCAAAACUGUGAGUCCAGAAAGCAAGAGAUUUCGGCUGAAGUGGCGAAAAGUAAGGCUUUAAUGCAGAACCAGGACAAUUUGAGACGCAACAUUGAGGAUAACUUGAACUAUAGGAAAACAAAGGCUGAUGUUGAUAAGCUCACCUGUGAGAUUGAAUUACUGGAAGAUAAAGUGCUGAAGAUGGGUGGCCUCUCCACUAUUGAGGCUGAGCUUAAAAAGCUUUCACAUGAAAGAGAGAAGCUACUUUCUGAGUUAAACAAGUGCCAUGGUACCCUAUCUGUUUAUCAAAGCAGCAUUUCCAAGAACAAAGUUGAUCUUAAGCAGGCACAGUACAAGGAUAUUGACAAACGCUAUUUUGAUCAGCUAAUCCAGCUGAAGACUACGGAGAUGGCAAACAAGGAUCUGGACAGAUAUUACAAUGCCCUUGACAAGCGUCUCCUGUACUUGAUCAAAUGUGGAAUUAAAUACUUUCAAUGUUCUAUUUGGUUUCUCUUGUUUCAGAGCACUGAUGCGCUUCCAUACAAUGAAAAUGGAAGAGAUAAAUAAGAUUAUCAGGGAACUGUGGCAGCAGACUUACAGGGGCCAGGACAUAGAUUACAUAAGCAUUCAUUCAGAUUCCGAAGGUUCUGGUACUCGAUCCUACAGCUAUAGGGUUUUGAUGCAAACCGGUGAUACUGAGCUAGAGAUGCGAGGGAGGUGUAGUGCUGGCCAAAAGGUCCUUGCAUCACUUAUUAUAAGAUUGGCAUUGGCUGAAACGUUUUGUCUCAACUGCGGAAUUCUAGCACUGGAUGAACCAACCACAAACCUAGAUGGCCCCAACAGUGAGAGUCUUGCAGCAGCUCUCUUAAGAAUUAUGGAGGACAGGAAAGGUCAAGAAAACUUCCAAUUAAUUGUCAUUACACAUGACGAGCGCUUUGCUCAAUAUAUUGGCCAGCGCCAGCAUGCAGAAAAGUAUUAUCGCAUCACAAAAGAUGACCACCAGCACAGCAUAAUUGAAGCUCAGGAAAUAUUUGAUUGAGAUCACAAGGGUUUCAGCCUCUGGCAGUGAUUAUUCAUUAGACGUUUCAUGCUUGACUUAGUACAUACUGAUAAACUACUAGUCCAGCAUACAGAAACUGAAUAGAACAAUCUCAUUUUUCCAUGGUUAUAUAUUUAAUCUGCUCUUGUAUUAUGUUCUCUGUAAAUUAUCUGAUGUAAAACGAUUUAUGCUGAGCUACUUGUCAUUGAAUUUCCUCACAUUCUGGUUUCUAUGGAUUGUAAGCAAGAAACUGAAGAAAGUUUAUUAUUUAAAGAAAUAGAUAUGUUCAUUACCA